ACACACACACACACAUACACACACAGGUGAAUGACUGGCUGUACAGGAAGUCUGUUGCAGAAGGUGUCUGCAUCCAGCACUGUCCCGCAUCACAGCAGAGCAUCACACUGACAAGUGGUGUCUGAGGGCCAAGUUACUUCAGCCCAAGUCUGGGGGGACUGGUGCAGCUUCAGCAUUAGACUCACUAACGGGACAAGCUAAAUAUGAUUAUUAAAAUGUCAUGUUCAGCUCUCUGGUGUCAACAGCAUCCAUGUCCAUACAAGACUGCGAUGCUUUCUGCAAGGCCUUCACCGUGUCAUUAAAUGUGGCAUUCAGCUGUGGCAUCGAACCGGUUAAAUUCUAAGCAGUCUGGCCCACCUCAUGAAGCCAGAGUCCAGCUGGCAUUGGACAAGGAGACAACAUGGACUACCAACAGACCUCUUGUCCAAGAUGUUCUGAGGGCCUGGGUUUCACCACCAGAACGAAAGCUGAAAGACACCAAAUCCAUCGUGACUUUUAUUACAGAAGUGGAAAGGCCUGGCUUUAAAAUAUUUUGGAUUGGCAAAAGGAAAGGCUGAAGGAAGACAGGGAACAGUCGGGAUACCUUUUUUUUCAAGGAGAAAGCAUUGUGCAUAUGACAUGUGCAUCCCCCUGCACAUGUCAUUCUGCAACACCAGCAAUUAAUCAAUUUUCCAGACGGGCGGCGGGAGGCUGUGCUGUUUGCUCCAAAAGAAGCUUUUAUGGUGUACUGCGCUGUUUUAAAGUAGCCUGGCAUCAAAACAUGACCAGUAGAGGCUGUUCUGGUGGAAACCAAUUUGAAAACACUAAAACAUCGUUUUUGAGCUUUUCAGGUCAUAAGAACACUACUUUAAACCACGGCAUAUGCAACCGAACAUUUAGGAUGCUUCGAGCUGUUUUAAGGUAGCCUGGCAUCAGAACAUGACCAAUACAACCUGUAUAGUUAAAAACCAAUGCAUAAACACUAAAACAUCGUUUUGGAGCUUUUCAGGUCAUAAGAACACUAGUUUAAACCAAGGCAUAUGCACCUGUACAUUUAGGAUGUAUUGAGCUGUUUGAAAGUAUUCUGGCAUCAGAACAUUACCAUUAGAGGCUGUUCUGGUGGAAACCAAUUUGAAAACACUAAAACAUCGUUUUUUAGCUUUUCAGGUCAUAAGAACACUACUUUAAACCACGGCAUAUGCAACUGAACAUUUAGGAUGCAUUGAGCUGUUUUAAGGUAGCCUGGCAUCAGAACAUGACCAAUACAACCUGUAUAGUUAAAAACCAAUGCAGAAACACUAAAACAUCGUUUUGGAGCUUUUCAGGUCAUAAGAACACUAGUUUAAACCAAGGCAUAUGCAACUGUACAUUUAGGAUGCAUUGACCUGUUUGACAGUAUCCUGGCAUCAGAACAUGACCAUUAGAGACUGUUCUGAUGGAAACCAAUGCAGAAACACUAAAACCUCGUUUUUGAGCUUUCCAGGUCAUAAGAACACUAGUUUAAACCACGGCAUAUGCAACUGUACAUUUAGGAUGCAUUGACCUGUUUUAAAGUAGCCUGGCAUGAGAACAUGACCAUUACAAACUGUAUAGUUAAAAACCAAUGCAGAAGCACUAAAACAUCAUUUUUGAGCUUUCCAGGUCAUAAGAACACUAGUUUAAACCAAGGCAUAUGCAACUGUACAUUUAGGAUGCAUAAGAGCUGUUUGACAGUAUUCUGGCAUCAAAACAUGACCAUUAGAGGCUGUUCUGGUGGAAACCAAUGUAGAAACACUAUAACAUCGUUUUUGAGCUUUUCAGGUCAUAAGAACACUAGUUUAAACCACGGCAUAUGCAACUGUACAUUUAGGAUGCAUUGACCUGUUUUAAAGUAGCCUGGCAUGAGAACAUGACGAUUACAAACUGUAUAGUUAAAAACCAAUGCAGAAGUACUAAAACAUCGUUUUGGAGCUUUUCAGAUCAUAAGAACACUAGUUUAAACCAAGGCAUAUGCAACUGUUCAUUUAGGAUGCAUUGAGCUGUUUGACAGUAUUCUGGCAUCAGAACAUGACCAGUAGAGGCUGUUCUAAAUGAAACCAAUGCUUAAACACUAAAACAUCGUUUUUGAGCUUUCCAGGUCAUAAGAACACUAGUUUAAACCAUGGCAUAUGCAACUGUACAUUUAGGAUGCAUUGAGCUAUUUUAAAGUAGCCUGGCAUAAGAACAUGACCAUUACAAACUGUUUAGUUAAAAACCAAUGCAGAAGCACUAAAACAUCGUUUUGAGCUUUUCAGGUCAUAAGAACACUAGUUUAAACCACGGCAUAUGCAACUAUGCUUUUAUGGUGUACUGAGCUGUUUUAAAGUAGCCUGGCAUCAAAACAUGACCAGUAGAGGCUGUUCUAAAUGAAACCAAUGCAUAAACACUAAAACAUCGUUUUUGAGCUUUUCAGGUCAUAAGAACACUAGUUUAAACCAAGGCAUAUGCAACUGUACAUUUAGGAUGUAUUGAGCUGUUUGACAGUAUUUUGGCAUCAGAACAUGACCAUUAGAGGCUGUUCUGAUGGAAACCAAUGCAGAAACACUAAAACAUCAUUUUUGAGCUUUUCAGGUCAUAAGAACACUGGUUUAAACCACGGCAUACUGUACCGUGAAAGGUCAAGGUCAUCAAAAGGUCACUUUUGAUGACCUUGACCUUCCUGUUGAAUAAAAUGGCAGUUGCAGCCUUCCUUUCUAAAGAUACAACUGUAGAGACAUGAAAUAAAAGCAAACAUCUUACCCCACAUCCUUCACAGAGCAGCUCUGACUUGCUGAUACUUUGAUGGAAUGUGCAGAGUAAAUCACAGUCUGACAUCACAGUUGUUCACUGCAUAGGUUAAAAGCAAUGGACUCAGGAACAGAAGUUGACAGUCCUGCAGACUGUCUGAUAUUAUAGUGUUAUUUGUGGAGUGGGCAUCAGGUUCUGUUAAGAAGCUGCAGUUUCACUUCAGCUUCCGUUUCAAUUUCGCUGCCGUUUUAGCAGAAGCACUGAGGGCAGUUCAUGUAAGU